CACCGGCGGCUCGAGUGGUGGCCACUUUUAUUGGGUCUAAAGCGUCCGUAGCCGGCUUGGCAAGUCCCCUGGGAAAUCUGGCGGCUUAACCGUCAGGCGUCCAGAGGAUACUGCCAGGCUUGGGACCAGGAGAGGUGAGAGGUACCUCAGGGGUAGGGGUGAAAUCUUGUGAUCCCUGAGGGACCACCAGUGGCGAAGGCGUCUCACUAGAACGGGUCCGACGGUCAGGGACGAAAGCUGGGGGCACGAACCGG
rnacentral:rRNA from 1 species